rnacentral:rRNA from 1 species
GAUGAACGCUGGCGGCGUGCCUAAUACAUGCAAGUCGAGCGAACAGACGAGGAGCUUGCUCCUCUGACGUUAGCGGCGGACGGGUGAGUAACACGUGGAUAACCUACCUAUAAGACUGGGAUAACUUCGGGAAACCGGAGCUAAUACCGGAUAAUAUAUUGAACCGCAUGGUUCAAUAGUGAAAGACGGUUUUGCUGUCACUUAUAGAUGGAUCCGCGCCGCAUUAGCUAGUUGGUAAGGUAACGGCUUACCAAGGCGACGAUGCGUAGCCGACCUGAGAGGGUGAUCGGCCACACUGGAACUGAGACACGGUCCAGACUCCUACGGGAGGCAGCAGUAGGGAAUCUUCCGCAAUGGGCGAAAGCUUGACGGAGCAACGCCGCGUGAGUGAUGAAGGUCUUCGGAUCGUAAAACUCUGUUAUUAGGGAAGAACAAAUGUGUAAGUACUAUGCACGUCUUGACGGUACCUAAUCAGAAAGCCACGGCUAACUACGUG